GACGAACGCUGGCGGCGUGCUUAACACAUGCAAGUCGAACGAAGUGGCGAACGGGUGAGUAACGCGUAAUCAACCUGCCCUUCAGGGGGGGACAACAGUUGGAAACGACUUCUAAUACCGCAUACUGAAGGAGGGGAUUGCGUGUGAUUAGCUAGUUGGAGGGGUAACGGCCCAGCAAGGCGAUGAUCAGUAGGCGGUCUGAGAGGGUGAACGGGCACAUUGGGACUGAGACACUGACCAGACUCCUACGGGAGGCAGCAGUAGGGAAUCUUCCGCAAUGGACGAAAGUCGGACGGAGCAAAGCCGCGUGAGUGAUGACGGCCUUCGGGUUCUAAAGCUCUGUUAAUCGGGACGCGGUACCGGAAGAGAAAGCCACGGCUAACUACGUGCCAGCAGCCGCGGUAAUUC
rnacentral:rRNA from 1 species